UAUAAUUCAAGAUUAACUAAAUUUGAUUUUAGAGAAUAAUAUGUUAAAGAAGAUAUUUUUUCUAAUAAUUUUUAAUAUUUAAAUUUAAAAUCUAUAAUAAAUUAUAUUUUAUAUGACAUUUAUUAAAUUUUUUUAAAGUAUAACCAAUGUUUAAGGUAAAUAUUAAUAAUUAAAACAUGACUUUUGUAUUCAAACCUUGUUGGAAGUAUUGGUUUUGUAAUUAGUUGUAAUACCCCGAAAAUUACUACAGUAAGAAAGUAGGUAUCCUUGAUAAUAAAAUAAGGAAAUAAAGU
rnacentral:lncRNA from 1 species